rnacentral:rRNA from 1 species
AUUGAACGCUGGCGGCGUGCUUAACACAUGCAAGUCGAGCGGUAAGGCCCUUUCGGGGGUACGACGAGCGGCGAACGGGUGAGUAACACGUGGGUGACCUGCCCUUAGCUCUGGGAUAAGCCUGGGAAACUGGGUCUAAUACCGGAUAUGACUCCAUGACGCAUGUUGUGGGGUGGAAAGCCUUGUGCGGCUAGGGAUGGGCCCGCGGUCUAUCAGCUUGUUGGUGGGGUGAUGGCCACCAAGGCGACGACGGGUAGCCGGCCUGAGAGGGCGACCGGCCACACUGGGACUGAGACACGGCCCAGACUCCUACGGGAGGCAGCAGUGGGGAAUCUUGCGCAAUGGGCGAAAGCCUGACGCAGCGACGCCGCGUGAGGA